CGAAAUUUCGCGAUAAAAAGAAUAACAUUCAACAUCAUUCAUGAAUGCGAUUUCCCCGAAAACUGCGAAUGUAUUCCAUGAUUCUCGAAGUGAAAUUCGCUUACGUCGUUGUCUUCGUAUACGCUUGUUUGUUUACGACCUGACGUCAAAACACGUUUCUAGCAAAUGAGUCAUCCGUUGCACAAACAAGCUACCAAUAGUCAAUAUGGUUAUGUUCUGCUAACGACCAUUAUGCACUGCUAAUGAC